rnacentral:rRNA from 1 species
CAUUACUGAAAGAUCACGGGGUUUUGAGACUGCAUCUUAAAUGGUGUGUGCUCGACUCCUACUCUUUUAUCCACAUACACCUUUUGUGCACUAUGGGACGAUUUAAAGUCCCCUUUAUUUACACAAACACUUGGUAUAUGCAUGUAUUUAAUACUCUAUUGAGUAAUGUACAACUUUCAACAACGGAUCUCUUGGCUUUCGCAUCGAUGAAGAACGCAGCGAACGUGCGAAACGUAAUGUGAAUUGCAGAAUUCAGUGAAUCAUCGAAUCUUUGAACGCAUCUUGCGCUCCUUGGCAUUCCGAGGAGUAUGCCUGUUUGAGUGUCGUGAAAUACUCUCAAUUUCUUUCUUUAUUGAUUGAAAUUGGAUUUGGAUGAUGUUGUGAAAGAAAUCAUGACUGAUCCUAAAUGCAUUAGCGAUCUGAAUUGAUCACACGCAAUGUGAUAAGAAAAAGCAUUGUUAAGAUUAAAGACAGAUUGCUUCAAAUACUAAUCAAUGUCAUUUGACCUCAAAUCAGGUAGGACUACCCGCUGAACUUAAGCAUAUCAAUA